rnacentral:rRNA from 1 species
AGAGUUUGAUCCUGGCUCAGGAUGAACGCUAGCUACAGGCUUAACACAUGCAAGUCGAGGGGCAGCAUGAAGUCAGCUUGCUGACUUUGAUGGCGACCGGCGCACGGGUGCGUAACACGUAUCCAAUCUGCCCGUUACUCAGGGAUAGCCUUUCGAAAGAAAGAUUAAUACCUGAUGGUUCGUUUUUCGCAUGAGGAGACGAAUAAAGAUUCAUCGGUAACGGAUGAGGAUGCGUCCGAUUAGAUAGUAGGCGGGGUAACGGCCCACCUAGUCGACGAUCGGUAGGGGCUCUGAGAGGAGGAUCCCCCACACUGGAACUGAGACACGGUCCAGACUCCUACGGGAGGCAGCAGUGAGGAAUAUUGGUCAAUGGGCGGGAGCCUGAACCAGCCAAGUAGCGUGAGGGACGACUGCCCUAUGGGUUGUAAACCUCUUUUGUUUGGGAAUAAAGUACCCCACGUGUGGGGUUUUGUAUGUACCUUACGAAUAAGCAUCGGCUAAUUCCGUGCC